rnacentral:rRNA from 1 species
CUACGAGCCGCUGCAGUGGGGGAUAUUGCACAAUGGGCGAAAGCCUGAUGCAGCAACGCCGCGUGAAGGAAGACGGUUUUCGGAUUGUAAACUUCUAUCAGCAGGGAAGAAAAUGACUGUACCUGACUAAGAAGCCCCGGCUAACUACGUGCCAGCAGCCGCGGUAAUACGUAGGGGGCAAGCGUUAUCCGGAUUUACUGGGUGUAAAGGGUACGUAGGCGGUUUAUUAAGUCAGAUGUGAAAGCCCGGGGCUCAACCCCGGGACUGCAUUUGAAACUGGUGAACUAGAGUACAGGAGAGGUAAGUGGAAUUCCUAGUGUAGCGGUGAAAUGCGUAGAUAUUAGGAAGAACACCAGUGGCGAAGGCGGCUUACUGGACUGUAACUGACGCUGAGGUACGAAAGCGUGGGGAGCGAACAGGAUUAGAUACCCCGGUAGUC